rnacentral:lncRNA from 10 species
CGGGCACCUCAUGCUGCCAAUUCCUGUGAUGUGGGGAUUCCAUAGUAUAUAUCGGUUUGCUUCUUCACUUUCCCCAAGGCCAAUUUAAAAUUCAGCUCUCGGUGUUUUGCUAGGUCAGCAGCCCUUCAUUCUUCCACUUUCCAGCUCCCAGAACACUGUUGCUGUUUUCUCCUUUCCAAGUCUCUUUACUUUGUGAAUGAUAGCCUUAAAAAAUCUUUUUCCUGUAAUUAUAACAAACAUUUGAAAUGGAGUGGAUUCACUAUGUUUGAUUUGCCAACUUUAACUAGAAGAUUCUCAGUAUUAAAAUUUAACAUAUAGAUUUAAAUACGUUUGCCUAUCAAUCUCCAAUGCUAAUAAGUAUCUGUAUCCCAUCUUCGCACACACAAUUACAUACACACAUAAAGAAAAAGACAAGAAUAUUAGCACAUUUUAAAAUCCCUUCUGCACUUCCCUUUUUCUCCUAUGUUAAAAUCAUCUGGAAUCAAAUUCUAGGUUUAUCAUUGUCUUAGACUGUCUGUGUUGCUGUAAAGGAAUAUGUGAGACUGGGUAAUUUAUAAAGAAAAGAGGCUUACUUGGUUCACAGGUCUUCAAGCUGUACAAGAAGUAUGGUGUCAGCACCUACUUCUGGUGAGAGUCUCAAGAAGAUUCCACUCAUAGCAGAAGGCAAAGAUGAGCAUGCAUCGCAUGGAGAAGAAAAGAGGAAAAAAGAACAAAAGAGAGAGAAGGAAAAAGAGGAGGAGAAUUGUUCUAGGACCAUGUGCCCUACCCUCAUGGAGCUCAAGUGUUGGGAGAAACGGGCAAUAAACAAGUAAGCAUCUAACUAAACAUCGUUAUUUUACAUAGCUGUAUUUGCUUUAUGAAAUAAACCAAAGUAAGGAGAGAUGAAGGAAGAAAGGUAACAUUCUGGAUAAUGUGGCCAAGGAAGUUCUUUUUACAAAAGUUAUAUCUGUGCAGAGACCUAUAUCAUGUAGCAGAGCAAGCUGUGCAUACUAACAUUGUCUACUGUAAUCAGCAUUCAUCCCACUCCUUUCUAUGCUUUCCUCAAUAUCACAUUGUAGGCUGGAAAUCUACAUUUCUUAGACUUCCUUGCCAGCAAGUUUCUGGAUACAGUUAGAUUCAGCCAAUGUGAUGAACUCUUGUGAGAGAUGAAAUAUGCAAGGUAGGAAAUGGGCUUGUGCCACCAAGAUCCACUGGUCUUAUUAUGUACCCCAUCACCCAGAAGAAGCUGGUGGUUCAGGAUGAUGGAACAGCUUAUUGAAAACUCAAUUAUAGCACCACUUGGGAAACAGCACCUAGCAAAGCUACAGUGCAGUCCUACAAGUUGUUGCAUAUGUUGCCAAAGAAUAUCCAAUAAAAGGUGUUACUGUCCCAAUAUUGUGACUAGACAUAGUUACAUGAAGUCUAGGAGCCCAAGAUAGAAAUACGAGUCACUUGUCUUCUUAGCACAUCUUAUGAACCACUCAUGAAAGGUUCGCUACCUUCCCCAUGUCUUUGGAGUCUGAUGGACAGAGGUAUUACCCGCCAAGAGAAAAGCAGUCCCACCACGAGACACAGCAAGUGUUCUACUGAAUGGGAAGUCACAACUGGACACCUGGACAUUUACGGCCUCUCCUGCCAGUGAACUAACCAUUUUUAAAGGGUAUUAUUCUCCUGCCUGAAAUGAUGACUACUAAUUGUCAAAGGACAUUAGGACUGCUGCUGAACAAAGGGGAAGAAAGACGAUGUCAGGAACCCAGGGAAAUUCCCUGAAGCAUCUUUUACUAAACUAUGCCUUGUGAUAAAAGUUUUAAAAUAACCCGAUAUAAACAGGACCCCAAAAGAUUAAGGUCCUAAAGAAGCUGAACAUAAUUAAGAGAUCUCAGACCUUUCAGGAAAGACAGUUUGUUCACCACUCCAGGUAGAAGAUAUCCUGACAAAAUGAGCUCCUGGAUGAGGACAAAGAGAACAUGGAUGAAUAUAGUUAUAAAUUCUAACUUCAGCCUCAUGACCAGUUGAAUAAACAAAAAUGCAGCAACUAUGCAUAUUUUCUUUAUUAUUUUGAAGUGCAUAUAUUUGCGAAUUUUGACCAAUUUUUUCUCUCCCUUUCCCUUGACAUAAUUGAUUUUUAUAUUAUAUUUGCCUUUCUUCUUUUACGGUAAAAUGAGUU